CGUGUAGGCGGCUUGGUAAGUCAGAUGUGAAAGCUCCGGGCUUAACCCGGAAAGUGCAUUUGAAACUGCCCGGCUUGAAUCCGGGAGAGGAAGGUGGAAUUCCCAGUGUAGAGGUGAAAUUCGUAGAUAUUGGGAGGAACAUCGGUGGCGAAGGCGACCUUCUGGACCGAGAUUGACGCUGAGACGCGAAAGCGUGGGGAGCAAACA
rnacentral:rRNA from 1 species